rnacentral:tRNA from 1 species
CUCCCGUUCGUCUAGCGGUCCAGGACGCCUGCCUCACGAGCCGGAAACGUCGGUCCGAAUCCGACACGGGAGACCA